rnacentral:rRNA from 1 species
GACGAACGCUGGCGGCGUGCUUAACACAUGCAAGUCGAGCGAUGAAGCUCCUUCGGGAGUGGAUUAGCGGCGGACGGGUGAGUAACACGUGGGUAACCUGCCUCAUAGAGGGGAAUAGCCUUCCGAAAGGAAGAUUAAUACCGCAUAAGAUUGUAGUUCCGCAUGGAACAGCAAUUAAAGGAGUAAUCCGCUAUGAGAUGGACCCGCGUCGCAUUAGCUAGUUGGUGAGGUAACGGCUCACCAAGGCGACGAUGCGUAGCCGACCUGAGAGGGGGAUAGGCCACAUUGGGACUGAGACACGUCCCAGACUCCUACGGAAGGCAGCAGGGGGGAAUAUUGCAAAAUGGGGGAAACCCUGAUGCAGCAACGCCGCGUGGGUGAUGACGGUCUUCGGAUUGUAAAACUCUGUCUUUGGGGACGAUAAUGGCGGUACCCAAGGAGGAAGCCACGGCUAACUACGUGCCAGCAGCCGCCGUAAAAC